CCCAUGUAGUACAGUAAAAGCGUGGAUGUCGUUUUGUUCUGUAAGCAGGGAGGGAGUGGAUGGACCUCGCUUCACAUAGAAAGUCAAAAACCCAUUGGUACAGAAAACACGUAUUAACUUUCCAGUAUUAACUAAUAAAAUUAACUAAUAAAACUCGAAUUGUGUUAGAUGACAGAUUGUUGGAGUUCGAAUUCUGGUUAGAAUUCUAGUUUUCGCCAGUAGUGAUUAACACAGCGGUAGAGAUUUUAGAAGUCGACUCAACUGGCAUUUAUUUGAUUCGUUACAAUUUAUAACAACGUUUCGAUCUUGAUUCUGGGCCCGGAUAAAGUUUGCGCUUUUCGGAACUGUACCCCUGGGCUCUUAACAAAUGAUAAUUAUGAAGACUUAUAAAUCAGUAACGCACACUUAAAACUAAAAGAAAAGAACGAAUAUAGUUAAUCUUCCCAAGACAAAAACAAAAUUUUUUAUGCCGUAAUUUUAUAAUUUAUUAUCCGAGUAGACUUACAUAUCCGACCUCGUUACAAUUGAAUGGGAAUUAGUCAUCAAUUUUGAUAAAAAAGAUAGCAAAACUAGGAAUACAUUGUGACUGACUAACAGUAAUUGUGAGACUGGAGUGAGAUACACGUUUAAAGUAUAUGGAGAUAUGAAAUAGAUAAAUAAAAACAUAUUAUGUCUCCUUGAUAA
rnacentral:lncRNA from 1 species